rnacentral:piRNA from 1 species
UAUGCAAAUGAUCCCUUAUAGG